CAUCUGUCCAGAGACGUGAUUUCUGUCAGAGCCCCCAGGACAACCUAGCCCCCUGGAUGCUGCUUGCAGAAUUCUUUGUCACUCCCAGUGCCCUGUUGGACAGAUUUCAGUUGAAUGAUGAGGGUGAAGUUGAAGCUCGUCCUCUAGGUGUUUGGGAAAGACACUCUUCUCACUUGGAUAAAUCAAGGAGAUGCCAGAGGAGGAGACUGUACCCUCUUCCUCCUGACUUGGAUGCCUUGAAGCAGAACAUCGCUUCCCUUUAAAAAAAAGGCCGGUUUGGUCACUUGGGACAGUGGAGGAAGGGGGGUCGGAACACCUGCAUGAACAUUCACUCGGGACUGAUGUUGGACGAAGAAGACGGGCACCUGAGCAGCCUCCCCUCACCAAAGUGUGGCCAUCGCCGAGGAGCCACUGAGUCAGAGCUCAGGCCUAAUGCCAUUCACUUCCUGCCAUUUUUCUUCCACUGCUUCCCUGUUCCAUAUUGACCCUCAAAGGGCCGCUCAUCUUUCCUGCCCAGGUUUAAAUUUAUUCCACUCUGAAA